GUGAGCAGCCAAGGGGGAUUUUUAUUGGUUGAUUAGGCUGCUAAAAAUAGGAAAAAUCUAGAAAGGUAGGCUGCUAAAAGUAGCCACAGAGUCCCCCAUGGCCAGCCAUACAUGUGGCUAUUUUAAGGUAGGGGCAAAUUUAAAAAGGCAUGAAUAGUGGAGGGGUUUGAAUGCAAAUUCAAGGGUUCGAAUGCAAAUUCAAGGGUUCUUCAAGGGCUAUUUUUCAAGCCAAAUAAUCAGCCAAACAAUCUGAUUGGGUCAGCAUCU
rnacentral:lncRNA from 1 species